CGGCCGCGGUACCCUAACCGUGCGAAGGUAGCAUAAUCACUUGUUCUUUAAAUGAGGACUCGUAUCAACGGCAUCACGAGGAUCCUACUGUCUCCCCCCUCUAAUCGGUGAAACUGAUCUCUCCGUGAAGAAGCGGAGAUGUACAUAUAAGACGAGAAGACCCCAUGGAGCUUUAAACCCAACAACACCCGCCCCCCCUCCAAAUCCUAUUAUUUACCCGGUGAUUGUUUGUUUGGUUUUAGGUUGGGGUGACCGCGGAGUAUAAGAUAUCCUCCAUGAAAAAAAGCUAACUGCCCUUAUUAGAGAAAGACACUUCCAAAAAAUAAUAAAUUAAUUUUAAAUGAUCCGACAUUCGAUCAACGAACCAAGUUACCCUGGGGAUAACAGCGCAAUCCGUCCCGAGAGCCCCUAUCGACAGGCGGGUUUACGACCUCGAUGUUGGAUCAGGGUAUCCUAGUGGUGCAGCAGCUACUAAAGGUUCGUUUGUUCAACGAUUAAAACCCUA
rnacentral:rRNA from 1 species